GAGUUUGAUCCUGGCUCAGAACGAACGCUGGCGGCAGGCCUAACACAUGCAAGUCGAACGAAGUCUUCGGACUUAGUGGCAGACGGGUGAGUAACGCGUGGGAACCUACCUGGAGGUUCGGAAUAACUCGGGGAAACUCGGGCUAAUACCGGAUACGCCCUUACGGGGAAAGAUUUAUCGCCUUUAGAUGGGCCCGCGUUGGAUUAGCUUGUUGGUAAGGUAAAAGCUCACCAAGGCGACGAUCCAUAGCUGGUCUGAGAGGAUGAUCAGCCACACUGGGACUGAGACACGGCCAGACUCCUACGGGAGGCAGCAGUGAGGAAUAUUCGGCAAUGGGCGCAAGCCUGACCGAGCCAUGCCGCGUGAGUGAAGAAGGCCCUAGGGUUGUAAAGCUCUUUCACCGAUGAAGAUAAUGACGGUAGUCGGAGAAGAAGCCCCGGCUAACUUCGUGCCAGCAGCCGCGGUAAUACGAAGGGGGCUAGCGUUGUUCGGAAUUACUGGGCGUAAAGCGCACGUUAGGCGGAUUGUUUAGUCCAGGGGUGAAAUCCCGGGGGCUCAACCCCCGGAACUGCUCUGAUACUGGGCAAUCUCGAGUUCGAGAGAGGUGAGUG
rnacentral:rRNA from 1 species